rnacentral:rRNA from 1 species
GACGAACGCUGGCGGCGUGCUUAACACAUGCAAGUCGAACGGAAAGGCCCUGCUUUUGUGGGGUGCUCGAGUGGCGAACGGGUGAGUAACACGUGAGUAACCUGCCCUUGACUUUGGGAUAACUUCAGGAAACUGGGGCUAAUACCGGAUAGGAGCUCCUGCUGCAUGGUGGGGGUUGGAAAGUUUCGGCGGUUGGGGAUGGACUCGCGGCUUAUCAGCUUGUUGGUGGGGUAGUGGCUUACCAAGGCUUUGACGGGUAGCCGGCCUGAGAGGGUGACCGGCAACAUUGGGAUGGAGAAAGGCCCCAGACCCCGACGGGGGGCAGCGGGGGGGAAUAUUGCAAAAUGGGCGGAAGCCUGAUGCAGCACCCCCGGGGGGGGGAUGGCGGCCUUGGGGUUGAAAACCGCUUUCGCCUGUGACGAAGCGUGAGGGAGGGUAAUGGGUAAAGAAGCACCGGCUAACUACGG